UACGGAAGGGGCGAGCGUUGUUCGGAAUCAUUGGGCGUAAAGGGCGCGUAGGUGGUUCUGUAUGUCUACCGUGAAAGCGUACGGCUCAACCGUAUUUUGUCGGUAGAAACUGCAGUACUUGAGGCUGGGAGGGGCUGGUGGAAUUCCCUGUGUAGCGGUGAAAUGCGUAGAGAUGGGGGAGAACACUCGUGGCGAAGGCGGCCAGCUAGACCAGUUCUGACACUGAGGCGCGACAGCGUGGGGAGCAAACAGG
rnacentral:rRNA from 1 species